UAAAAUUAAAUGAAAAAUUUAAAUAAAAAUUAAGAGAUAGGGAUGAACUCUUAAGAGAUAGGAGUUACACCUCAUGUAUUAACGUGGCUUAAUCUUUCUUCACAAGUGGAAAUGAAAACGUGGGCUUAAGUAGAAGAGAAAACGUGGUCUCCUAAUUGUCCAUAAUCAUCAUUGAAACUCCCCUAUAAAUAGAACCUUAAUCUUUAUCAAUCCCACACAAACCAUCACUGUCACACGAAGCUAGGAAUUUCAAGGUGUCCUAGAUGAAGGUGAUUGCUCGAGUUAUUUUGGAAAGCUUCGAGGUAAGGGGAAUCGCUAAUAAUAAGUUUCGAUGAGCACAAGAAAUGUGUUACUUGUAUAUAUAUUAUUAGUUAUAACUAGGGGUGUUGUGUACUUUAUAUAGUAAUUUAUAUUCAUUAAGGUAUGUGCAAAAUGUUAAAUGAUGAGUGAUUGAUUUUAGUUUGAUUAUAUGUGUGAAUAAAUCUUCUGCAAUAUAUGAUUUGAAAAUGUUCAUAUGUUUGAGUGUUAUGGUGAAAAAUUGAGGUUAACUCUCAUAAGUUGUAUGGUGAGUUUUGAGGAUUAAUAUGUCAAGUUGAUAUUGACAAAGAAAAUUUAAGUUGAAAAGUUGAACAGUUAAUCACCUUUGAUAGGUGAAGAGCAAAACAGGGUGUUUCUUACAGUACUAUAAUGUAUGUAAGACUGAGGAUAGGUUCGGCUAGGUCGCCUCAAGACCUAAUGGGGAUCACCGGCGUUUUGAACUCCUACCAAUAGUCAGAGAUAGCCACUCUGACUGGAGGAAAUCAUACAACCCGACGUGGUGAAACCUGACUGUGCAGGACUAUCUAUAAUAAGGUGUAGCGCUCGGGCCAGAAUGGUUGAGACAUAUUUGAUAUAUGUUGAUUUGCAAACGACCAUGUUAUGGCAGUUGAAACGGCCUUACGCUCAUAAUAGAGGUCUCCAUGGAGUAGGUUGAAUAAAGAUAAUACUAACCAAAUUAGAAGACUAACUUCGAGUGAAGAAUUAUGAUUAGAUUUUAUAUACAUUUUAAAUGAUUCAAUUUCGAUGUUUGAUAUAUUUGAUGAUUGAUAUAUUUGAUUUUCCUUGUCUGACUAAUUGUUGAUUAGUGAUGAUGAUAUAAUGUUUAUGUAAUUCACUUUGUGAUUAUUUGACUAUAUGUGACUAUUUGACUACUUGAUUCUAUUUAAUUAAAUACAUGAUUAGAUACUCAGUUAUGUAUAUAUACUAUUAAAUAAAUGUAUAUACUUGUAUAAUAUUAUCUGUAACCUUGUGACAUCAUCACGAUGGUAACUUGUGUACGAGUGAUUCACCCCUUACAACAGUUAGUGCAGGAUUCUAAGAACUCAAGUUGAAGUUCAUUGAGAAAAGGAAAACGUGAUUGUGAGAGACAUUAAUUAUAAUACAAGGACCGUUAGUGUUGAUUAGUGAUCUAGUUUAUCUUUGGAGCCUAAAGAGAAAGAUCUCUUUGAUAUGUAUUGAUGACGUCAUUGGAGUACUCUCUAGGUGACAUGUAUCUUAGUGUUUGACCAGCUUGUGAUCAUUUGUGGGUUAGAGUCUUUUGUAGGAAUUUAUCUUUUAUUAUUUCAUAUUGAAAAAUUGUAAGAUACUUAUGUGAAAUGAAAAUGUUUUAUAUUUGAAAA